GCCAAGCUGACACUUAGCGAGCAAGUACGGACCUCUCCUCGCAGGCUCCGGUGGGAAAGGCUCCUGGAAGGGCGCGAGCCAGGAAAGUAGAUGAAGUGAAGAGAUGAAGACUGCGUGGGGUAGUUGUUGGAAAGGCUCGGAUCAUCCCCAACCCAGCCCCGUCUUGUCCGGCCCCAAAAGGCCCAUCUCGGCCGAGCUACUCACACUUUGUACGGCAGCCGUGGGUCCGACGUCAGCGUGAUCUUAAAGGAAACCUUCGACCUGAGGAAAAGAGCGGGAGAGAGUCAGGGUCGGGCAGCUGGACCAGGAAUUAAGGCAGUCGAUUGAUGUCAGAGUGGGAUUCAAAGUAGAACUCCAGUGACUCCAAGGAGCACCAAGUCACCAAAAGGCCAAAAGAUAAAAACAGCAAGAAAGCAAACAAAUAAAAGUAACAACAAAAUUUAAGAAUCCCUUGCGUGGAAGGAUGCUUAUUUCCUCUGGACUGAAAGAUGGCAUCAGAAGUGGGAUCUAAAGUAAAGCUUCUAACAAUCCCCAUGAGCACUGAGUGACCAAGCAAGGUACACGCCAGGCCUGUUCUGUCUGUUGCUCUCACAGAGCAGCUGGGGAUCGUGAUGACAGAAACUUCAUCUGCAUUGGCUUCGGCAAAGCAGAAAUUUAUUAGCUUACAAGGCCCCAUCUUUUCCAUGCACCUGUCUGCUUCCUUGGCUUCAGAGCAUUGCCUCCAAGUCCUCUACAGCACAACUUUCCCCUCAGCCUCCAACCUUAUGAUGUACUGGGAUAUUGUGUUGCCCCUCUCCCCUCACUACCUGUGCUGAGCUUUGAGGCUGACACACCUAUAAACCCCAGGAGUGGAGGGAAGGGAGAGUGGAUUGUCAUUGAGACAUAUGUUCUGCUUAUGUGGAGAGUAACUUGAGCAACGUUACCCACCUCUAUGUGGAAACACAGGUUUAUUUAGUAUGUUGAAAUUCCAGACAUAACUAUCUGUUCAGUAGCAGUGGUUUCUAUAAGACAACAACUUCACUCUUCAUUUUGUGCUAGUAGAAUGGAACUUCACGGACCUUGGAGAAGCAUACUCCAAACACUACAAAUGAUGGUUAUACUUUGGAGAGAUGCUAAGACAGCAGAUGCUAAAAUCCAGAUACCUUUUGUGAAUAUGAGGCAUAUCUACUGGGAACACAUCAUAAUAAUCAUCUGUUGAGGUAAACAUUGAAGAUGGUGGCAAUAAGCAGUUGGAGAAAAAGAAAAAUAUCAACAUGCAAGGCACCAUUGUUUUCUUGCUUCUUAAUUGUAACUUUUUAUUUUUUGUGUAUAUGGCUAUCACAGAGAUUUAAAAAUUAAUCAUUGAAAAUCAUUAAUAGAAUCGACCUGUGAGCAUCAACACGGAAAUGGAUGAAGAAAAUGUGUUAUAUACACAGUGGGAUACCAUUAAGCCUAAAAAUGAAGGAAAUCUUGUCAUUCACAGCAACAUGGGUGAGCCUGGGGGGGCAUUAUGUUCAGUGAAAUAAGUCAGGCACAGAAAGAUAAAUACCACCUGUUCUCACUUAUAUGUGAGCGCUUAAAGAAGCUCAGCUUAUAAAAGUAGAGGGUAGAAUUGUUUAGUAUUAGAGGCUUGGAAUGGUAGGGAGGAGGAGAAGAUAGCUAGAAGUUGGUUAACAGACACAAAAUUGUCUAGAUGGAGAGAAAGUUCCAGUGUGCCAUAGCACUGUAGGGUGACUAUAGUUAACCAUAAUCUACCAUAUUUUCCAAUAGCAGGAAGAGAGAACUUUGAAUGUUUGAAGUGCUGGACAUUCUUACUACUCUGAGUUGAUUAUUACACAUUGCACACACGCAUCAAAACAUCACUCUGUAUCCUACAAAUAUGUACAAUAUUACGUGUUAACUCAAAAUAAGAAAAAAUGAAAUCUUGAUUUAUUAUUAUCUAAUUUCAGUAUUUUACCACUUUCCCCCAAAUGCAAAAGCAAUUUAGUACUAUUUUUCAGCAUCCCAUUGUCUUGUAUUUUACUAUACAUUUUAUGAAUCCCAUACUACAUGUAUUUUUUCCCUAGUAUUGAUUUACAUAUACCUACACACAUCUGUACUUUCACCUGGGAUUCCUUUGUUUCAGUCCUUUAGUAUUCAUUUUAGAGAAGAUCUGCAAGUUGUGAAUUCCUUUAGCAUAUGAUUGUCUCUAUUAUAUGCUAAAAGAAUAUGAUAGAAUAAAAGAAUGUUUUUUCAUUUUGAAGGAUAUUUUCACAGAGUAUAGAUUUUGAGGGGUUUAUAUUUACUUUUAAUAUUUUAAAGAUAUCAUUCACUUAUCUUCCAGCUUCCAUCGUUUUUGACAAAAAUUUAAACAUCAGUCUUGAUUUUCCUUUGAAGAUACUAUGAUUUUCUAACUGCUUUAAAAUGUUUCCCUUUGUCUUUGAUAUUCAGCAAUUUGACUAGGACAUAUCUAGAUGUGGUCAUCUUUAUAUGUGUGCAAAUGAGUUUCACUGCGCUUUAUAAACGUGAAUUGAUAAUUUUAUCUGAUUUGAAAAAUUCUAGACAAAUACUUUAUCAAAUAUUGUUCCUAUUCCAUGUUCUCUCUUUCUGAGCAAUAACUAUAAUUCAAACUAUUUUAUCAUGUUCCAAAUAUCUCUUACUUUAUGUUACUGUUUUCUUCCCUGCUUCAGUAUGUAAAAUUUUUAUUGACUUA